UGGGGAAUUUUGGACAAUGGGCGAAAGCCUGAUCCAGCAAUGCCGCGUGUGUGAAGAAGGCCUUCGGGUUGUAAAGCACUUUUGUCCGGAAAGAAAUGGCUCUGGUUAAUACCUGGGGUCGAUGACGGUACCGGAAGAAUAAGGACCGGCUAACUACGUGCCAGCAGCCGCGGUAAUACGUAGGGUCCAAGCGUUAAUCGGAAUUACUGGGCGUAAAGCGUGCGCAGGCGGUUGUGCAAGACCGAUGUGAAAUCCCCGAGCUUAACUUGGGAAUUGCAUUGGUGACUGCACGGCUAGAGUGUGUCAGAGGGGGUAGAAUUCCACGUGUAGCAGUGAAAUGCGUAGAGAUGUGGAGGAAUACCGAUGGCGAAGGCAGCCCCCUGGGAUAACACUGACGCUCAUGCACGAAAGCGUGGGAGCAAACAGGAUUAGAUACCCUGGUAGUCCACGCCCUAAACGAUGUCAACUAGUUGUUGGGGAUUCAUUUCCUUAGUAACGUAGCUAACGCGUGAAGUU
rnacentral:rRNA from 1 species